rnacentral:rRNA from 1 species
AUCGAACGCUGGCGGCAGGCCUAACACAUGCAAGUCGAGCGGAGCGGCGGACGGGUGAGUAAUGCCUAGGAAUCUGCCUGGUAGUGGGGGAUAACGUCCGGAAACGGGCGCUAAUACCGCAUACUAUCAGAUGAGCCGAGGUCGGAUUAGCUAGUUGGUGGGGUAAAGGCGUACCAAGGCGACGAUCCGUAACUGGUCUGAGAGGAUGAUCAGUCACACUGGAACUGGGACACGGUCCAGCGUCCGACGGUAGUCAGCAGGGGGGAAUAUUGGGCAAUGGGCGAAAGCCUGAUCCAGCCAUGCAGCGUGGGUGAAGAAGGUCUUCGGAUUUUAAAGCACUUUAAGUUGUUAGACGGUACCAACAGAAUAAGCACCGGCUAACUUCGUGCCAGCAGCCGCGGUAAUUC